rnacentral:misc_RNA from 1 species
AAGUCGUAACAAGGUAUCCGUAGGUGAACCUGCGGAUGGAUCAUUAAGAAGCAUCCUUUUUACUAUUAUAAAGGUCUUCAACCCUUGUGGUCUAAUAGAUUUGUAUUAGUUGGGUUAAAUUGAUCAUACAGAUGCGUGCGUGCAUGCAUGUGUUUGAUUGAUUUGCCCGACAUCACCAUACUAAACCAUAUCACUUUUAUACAUUACUGACUGAUGUUGCCUUGCGACUAUUGUGAUUCUUCAUUGAUGAUGAUCAAAAGUAACAAGUAAAACAAUUGUAAUCUUAAUACAACUGCUAGCAACGGAUCACUCGGCUCUCAC